rnacentral:rRNA from 1 species
AGUGAACGCUAGCGGUAGGCCUAACACAUGCAAGUCGAACGGCAGCACAGGAGAGCUUGCUCUCUGGGUGGCGAGUGGCGGACAGGUGAGGAAUACAUCGGAAUCUACUCUGUCGUGGGGGAUAACGUAGGGAAACUUACGCUAAUACCGCAUACGACCUACGGGUGAAAGCAGGGGAUCUUCGGACCUUGCGCGAUUGAAUGAGCCGAUGUCGGAUUAGCUAGUUGGCGGGGUAAAGGCCCACCAAGGCGACGAUCCGUAGCUGGUCUGAGAGGAUGAUCAGCCACACUAGAACUGAGACACGGUCCAGACUCCUACGGGAGGCAGCAGUGGGGAAUAUUGGACAAUGGGCGCAAGCCUGAUCCAGCCAUACCGCGUGGGUGAAGAAGGCCUUCGGGUUGUAAAGCCCUUUUGUUGGGAAAGAAAUCCAGCUGGCUAAUACCCGGUUGGGAUGACGGUACCCAAAGAAUAAGCACCGGCUAACUUCGUGCCAGCCGCCGCCGUAA